rnacentral:rRNA from 1 species
AUGAGCGCGCACAGGUAUCUGGCGGCAGAGGAAAAUGCAGACGAGGAGUUAACUGAUAUCAUGAUCGAUGAGCUUGAUGAUGAUCAGGAAAACAACUCGGAGCUCUCGAAUGAAGAUUACAUUAGUCAGCUCAUUUCCGAAUGUCAUAAUGCGUAUGACUAUUACAGUGAAUCCGAUGCGGAGACAGGCCUUAACGACGAAUCAUUAGAUGCACCUGAUUCCGGGGAGUCGCAGUCGUCGGUCAUCAUGAGUGAGGUGACACAAGAUGAUGGGACAAAGAAUGUCCAAGAUACUGCCAGUGCAAAUGAUAAGAGGGACAUGUUCAUGCAGAUAAUGGAAAUGACUUUUAUGUCUCACGAUGCUGCGUAUGAUUUCUACAACAGCUAUGCUAGAUAUAAUGGUUUCACCAUUAGAAAGAAUAAGAUCAGGGAAACGGAUAGCAAGUUGCUAACCGAGGAAGGACACAGCCGUAGGCUCAGAGCCGAGACACGCUGCUUUUGCAAAGCGCACCUGACCGUCAAGCUUGAAAAAAAGCGUGGGGUUUGGUAUGUUGAAAGUUUUGAGGACAAGCAUAGCCAUAUGUUGGCAGGACCGGACGAGGUACCUUUUCUUUGGUCCCACAAAAAAACCAAAGAGUACCAAAAGCAUGAGAUAAUGUCCAUGGGAGCUGCAGGGAUUAGAAUUCACGACAUGAUGGAUUCCUUCAUCAGCAAACAUGUAUGGUGCGGCGGUGUUAGUUUUACCAGGCGUGAAAUAUACAACCUUUGCGCCAGGGAGAAGAGGAAGCUGCUUUCAAAAGGUGAUGCUGCCACAGCCAUAGGCAUCAUGGCCAGUAGGAAACAGAGGGAUCCUAGCUUCUUUUUCGACUAUAAGCUAGAUAAGGAAGGACAUUUGAAUAGGAUGUUCUGGUGCGACUCCCGGUCUUGUCAUGAUUAUGAGGACUUCGGCGAUGUGCUUGUAUUUGACAGCACGUACAAGAUGAACCGCUAUGGUAUGCCAUUCAUACCUUUUGUUGGUCUUAACAAUCAUCGGAGAACCACUGUUUUUGGUUGUGCCAUAGUUUCGGACGAGACAGAAGAGACAUACGUGUGGCUGCUGCAGACUUUUUUGAGGCCCAUGUGUCAAAAGAUGCCAAAGAGUGUAAUCACGGACGCCGACGCUGCGAUGAUCAAGGCAAUUCGUGAAGUCUUGCUAGACGUGUGGCACCGUAUAUGUACGUGGCAUAUAGAGAAAAAAAUGAAGAUUCACCUCAGUCACAAGUCCUUGAAGGAGUUCUGA